AUGAAUAAAGGCACCGUCGAGGCCUCUGAUGGACUAAACCUGCAUGUUCAGCACCCGAAUACAAACAGGCGUGCACAAUCACCAGGUGGCGGCUCCCCGUUCCAGCACAACUGUAUCCAUCAUCUUCCUCAUCCUCUGGGUACCAGAACAAGCCCUUCUUAUUCCACAAAGCCUUCUCUGCCAACUUGGAGCCACUUCGGACUCACAGCAGCUGAGCAGCCGUGUCUUCUGAGCUGGUGCUUAGGUCAGCUUUGGUGUGAACUCCGUCUACCUGCAUCAUCCCUGCACAUAGCAGGAUGCCUUCCUCAUGCCAUUCUGAUCACACUAUUGGCUCAUUCCUCUUUGUUCAAAUUGCAAAUGUGAGGCAAUUGGGGUGCUAGAAUCCUGAAGGUCAGAUGCUACAUAGGUCUCAUCGUUGGAUGUGGUCCUGCCUCAUUUAUGGGGUCAAAGUGUCAACAUUUUAGGUAUGUAUACCUCAAAGCGGAAGGAGACUGGAACUCUAGGUUAAGCUGCAUGUCAGCUGUGUAGUGUCAUUCAGGAUUCUUCAUGAGGUGAGUCAUUGGAGGAAGCAGCGAAACCAUGGGGGCAAGGAAUAUUUCAAAGGCCCAAGGACAAUUUAAACAUCAAGAAACAUUGUGUCUGGACCCAAUGGGAUAUGGAGCUUGUUGUCAGGUGACAUGGAGCUUGUCAGGUGACAUGAGGAAUCUUGUGUCUAUGAUGGAAUCUGCCACUAGGUAGUGGAGAGAGAGCCACCUUCCAAAAGGCCAAAAAUGGUACAAGAAAAAGGAGAGGUGUGGUUGAGUAGUUAAAGAAAGUUGUGAAGAUUUUUCUAAGGAGGUAGUGAAAGUUUGACUUCUCUGCUGCCAUUAUUAACAACACCUUUUCCAUGGAAGUUUCUGUGCUCUGGUCUUUUAGAGGAACAAGAAUCCAAGCUGAAUAUAUAUAUAUUUUUGAGACAGGGUCUCACUGUGUUGUCCAGGCUGGAGUGCAGUGGCAUGAUCUUGGCUCACUGCAACCUCCACCUCCUGGGUUCAAGCUAUUCUUAUACUUCAGCCUCUGGAGUAACUAGGACUACAGGCGCCCGCCACCACUCCUGGCUAAUUUUUGUAGUUUUAGUAGAGACAGGUUUUUGCACGUUGGCUAGGCUGGUUUCAAACUCUUGGCCUCAGGUGAUCCAUCCGCCUUGGCCUCCCAAAGUGGUGGGAUUACAGGCAUGAGCCACCAUGCCCUGCCCAAGCUGAAUUUUUGUAUGUUUUAUUGGAAAUGUAGAAACAUUCCAUUCACACUUAAUUAGUCCAUUUGGAAAAUAUUGAUUAGAAUUUCCCAUUUUCUAAAAAGUAUUUUUCAACUAGUACUCCAAUCACUGUUAUUAACAUCAUCUCUACAAAAUCAGUCAGUCUCCUUUAAGCUUUAUGUUAUGAGUGAUGUCAGUUUGAUUACUUAAAAAACAAUUAAAAUGAGUUGUAAUUUUAUAUCAGACUUUGAGCCAUAUAUGGAUUGAUGAAUGUUCUUAAGUCAUCAUACUUUAAAAUUCAACCAAACAGGUAAUUAUCAUAUACCAUCAAAUAUAAUUAUAGGUGCUCAUCUCCAUAAAACCCUACAACUUAAUAUCAUAUAUUAGCAGUUAAUCAUAUAGCUUAAAUGGGUCUAUGAUGCAUUUUUUUGAGCUCUCUAAUCUGCAUCAGUGAAGAAUACACACAGCACAUGAGAAAAAGGUUAAAUGAAUGCUCAAG
rnacentral:lncRNA from 1 species